CUAUACAUGCAAGUCGAGCGAACAGAUAAGGAGCUUGCUCCUUUGACGUUAGCGGCGGACGGGUGAGUAACACGUGGGUAACCUACCUAUAAGACUGGGAUAACUUCGGGAAACCGGAGCUAAUACCGGAUAACAUUUGGAACCGCAUGGUUCUAAAGUGAAAGAUGGUUUUGCUAUCACUUAUAGAUGGACCCGCGCCGUAUUAGCUAGUUGGUAAGGUAACGGCUUACCAAGGCGACGAUACGUAGCCGACCUGAGAGGGUGAUCGGCCACACUGGAACUGAGACACGGUCCAGACUCCUACGGGAGGCAGCAGUAGGGAAUCUUCCGCAAUGGGCGAAAGCCUGACGGAGCAACGCCGCGUGAGUGAUGAAGGGUUUCGGCUCGUAAAACUCUGUUAUUAGGGAAGAACAAAUGUGUAAGUAACUGUGCACGUCUUGACGGUACCUAAUCAGAAAGCCACGGCUAACUACGUGCCAGCAGCCGCGGUAAUACGUAGGUGGCAAGCGUUAUCCGGAAUUAUUGGGCGUAAAGCGCGCGUAGGCGGUUUCUUAAGUCUGAUGUGAAAGCCCACGGCUCAACCGUGGAGGGUCAUUGGAAACUGGGAAACUUGAGUGCAGAAGAGGAAAGUGGAAUUCCAUGUGUAGCGGUGAAAUGCGCAGAGAUAUGGAGGAACACCAGUGGCGAAGGCGACUUUCUGGUCUGUAACUGACGCUGAUGUGCGAAAGCGUGGGGAUCAAACAGGAUUAGAUACCCUGGUAGUCCACGCCGUAAACGAUGAGUGCUAAGUGUUAGGGGGUUUCCGCCCCUUAGUGCUGCAGCUAACGCAUUAAGCACUCCGCCUGGGGAGUACGACCGCAAGGUUGAAACUCAAAGGAAUUGACGGGGACUCGCACAAGCGAUGGAGCAUGUGGUUUAAUUCGAAGCAACGCGAAGAACCUUACCAAAUCUUGACAUCCUUUGAAAACUCUAGAGAUAGAGCUUUCCCCUUUGGGGGACAAAGUGACAGGUGGUGCAUGGUUGUCGUCAGCUCGUGUCGUGAGAUGUUGGGUUAAGUCCCGCAACGAGCGCAACCCUUAAGCUUAGUUGCCAUCAUUAAGUUGGGCACUCUAGGUUGACUGCCGGUGACAAACCGGAGGAAGGUGGGGAUGACGUCAAAUCAUCAUGCCCCUUAUGAUUUGGGCUACACACCUGCUACAAUGGACAAUACAAAGGGCAGCUAAACCGCGAGGUCAUGGAAAUCCCAUAAAGUUGUUCUCAGUUCG
rnacentral:rRNA from 1 species